UACCUUGGAAGUAGUGAAGUUGCCUUAU
rnacentral:piRNA from 1 species